rnacentral:tRNA from 1 species
CAAAAGGUAGCUUAUAUUAAAGCAUCUGGCUUACAACCAGAAGUCUGUUGUAUUACAACCCUUUUG